rnacentral:rRNA from 1 species
ACCAUCCUAAGGUAGCGAAAUUCCUUGUCGGGUAAGUUCCGACCUGCACGAAUGGAGUAACGAUUUGGGCGCUGUCUCCACCACGAACUCGGUGAAAUUGCAUUACGAGUAAAGAUGCUCGUUACGCGCAGCAGGACGGAAAGACCCCGGGACCUUUACUAUAGUUUGGUAUUGGUGAUCGGUGUGACUUGUGUAGGAUAGGUGGGAGACUGUGAAGCUGGGACGCUAGUUCUGGUGGAGUCGUCGUUGAAAUACCACUCUGGUUACUCUGGUUAUCUAACCUAGGGCCAUGAUCUGGUUCAGGGACAGUGCCUGAUGGGUAGUUUGACUGGGGCGGUCGCCUCCUAAAAGGUAACGGAGGCGCCCAAAGGUUCCCUCAGCCUGGUUGGCAAUCAGGUGUUGAGUGUAAGUGCACAAGGGAGCUUGACUGUGAGACUGACGGGUCGAGCAGGUACGAAAGUAGGAACUAGUGAUCCGGCGAUCCCGUGUGGGUGGGUCGUCGCUCAACGGAUAAAAGGUACCCCGGGGAUAACAGGCUGAUCCUGCCCAAGAGUCCAUAUCGACGGCAUGGUUUGGCACCUCGAUGUCGGCUCGUCGCAUCCUGGGGCUGGAGUCGGUCCCAAGGGUUGGGCUGUUCGCCCAUUAAAGCGGCACGCGAGCUGGGUUUAGAACGUCGUGAGACAGUUCGGUCCCUAUCCGCUGCGCGCGUAGGAGUCUUGAGAAGGGCUGUCUCUAGUACGAGAGGACCGGGACGGACUAACCUCUGGUGUGCCAGUUGUUCCACCAGGAGCACUGCUGGUUAGCUACGUUGGGAAGUGAUAACCGCUGAAAGCAUCUAAGCGGGAAGCACGCUUCAAGAUGAGGGCUCCCACAGAAACAAUCUGGUAAGGCCCCCCACAGACCAUGGGGUCGAUAGGUCGGACGUGGAAGCGUAGUAAUACGUGAAGCUGACCGAUACUAAUAGGCCGAGGGCUUACCACA